rnacentral:rRNA from 1 species
UACGUAGGCAGCAAGCGUUGUUCGGAGUUACUGGGCGUAAAGGGUGUGUAGGCGGUUUUUCUAAGUCUGGUGUGAAAUCUCCCGGCUCAACUGGGAGGGUGCGCCGAAAACUGGAAGGCUAGAGUGCGGGAUGGGAGAGUGGAAUUCCUGGUGUAGCGGUGAAAUGCGUAGAUAUCGUAAGGAAGACCAGUGGCGAAGGCGGGGUCUCUGGACAGUUCCUGACGCUGAGGCACGAAGGCCAGGGGAGGCAAAGCGGGAUAGAAACCCCAGU